rnacentral:rRNA from 1 species
UACGGAGGGUGCGAGCGUUGUCCGGAAUCAUUGGGCGUAAAGGGCGCGUAGGUGGCGGGACAAGCGUGCGGUGAAAGCCUGGGCUCAACCCCGGGUCGGCCGUGCGAACUGUUUUGCUUGAGCACUGUAGAGGCAGGCGGAAUUCCGGGUGUAGCGGUGGAAUGCGUAGAGAUGUGGAGGAACACCAGUGGCGAAGGCGGCUUUCUGGUCUGUAACUGACGCUGAGGCGCGAAAGCGUGGGGAGCAAACAGG